rnacentral:rRNA from 1 species
AUUGAACGCUGGCGGCAUGCCUUACACAUGCAAGUCGAACGACGCCAGGGGGCAACUCCUGGCGAGUGGCAAACGGGUGAGUAAUACAUCGGAAUGUAUCCCGUCGUGGGGGACAACCAGUCGAAAGACUGGCUAAUACCGCAUGAGAUCGAAAGAUGAAAGCGGGGGAUCCGCAAGGACCUCGCGCGAUGGGAGCAGCCGAUGUCGGAUUAGCUAGUUGGCGGGGUAAAAGCCCACCAAGGCGACGAUCUGUAGUUGGUCUGAGAGGACGACCAGCCACACUGGGACUGAGACACGGCCCAGACUCCUACGGGAGGCAGCAGUGGGGAAUUUUGGACAAUGGGCGCAAGCCUGAUCCAGCAAUGCCGCGUGCAGGAA